rnacentral:rRNA from 1 species
UGAAGUCGGAAUCGCUAGUAAUCGCGAAUCAGAAUGUCGCGGUGAAUACGUUCCCGGGCCUUGUACACACCGCCCGUCACACCAUGGGAGUGGGUUGCACCAGAAGUAGAUAGCUUAACCUUCGGGAGGGCGUUUACCACGGUGUGAUUCAUGACUGGGGUGAAGUCGUAACAAGGUAACCCUAGGGGAACCUGGGGUUGGAUCACCUCCUUACCUUAA